UUGGUCAUUGGAAUAAAUGUAGCUACCCAAUUUCAUAUCCAAUGGUCAAGAUAAAAUUGUGACCACGUUGUACCAAAAAUAAAUGGACCCGGUUGCUAUGCAGCCAAACCCGCAUAUGUAGAACUGCGGGCCUAUUAAUAAAUAUAUUUUUGAGAUGUAAUUUUGGACUUAAUUUUUAAGGACAUGUAAUAUUUAACAUGGAGAUCAUGAAUAUGAAAUAAUAAGCAAAUUUUAAAAACUAUAAAUAAUAAUUCUAAUAAGACAGUUAUGGGCCGUCUGCGUACCUGAAAUCAAUUACAUGACAAUAGAUUACAAGAAAAUAUGACACACUGUUUGGGUAGACUUUAAUAGUAAGGAAAUGGAAAGAGAUUACCCGAGAUUUCUCCAAAAAUCACAAAACCCAUUAAUCGGGGUGAAAAAUCUAUCACGCAUCUUGACGAGUAAUCUUUGAGAAAUAUUUCGCUCGCAUCGAAACCCAUUAAGCGGGGGUGAAAAAUCUAUUAAGCGCCUUCACGGGUAAUCUGAAACCCAUUACGCGGGGUGAAAAAUCAAUUACGCGGGUCAACGGGUAAGGAAAUAUUUCGCUCGCGUCUCUCUGCCCUAUUCCUGCUUUAAAACAUAUCUUUGGGAAACCUUUGGUUUGCAUAAGUGCGCCCUUCCUCUCUCAGUGCACCUCUAUCUCUUGAGCCCUAAUAACUAGUUUGCAUAACCUCUUUCUCUAUUUGAGCUUUUUCUGCUAACCUGAAGAGAGAGAAGUAGCUAACCUGAAGAGAGACAUCUCUCAAGCCCUAAUAACUAGUUUUCAUAACUUCUUUCUCUAUCUGGACUUUUGCUGCUAACCUGAAGAGAGAGAAGUAGCUAACCUGAAGAGAGAAGCAAGAGAGUCUUGGUAAGCCCUACAUAAUCAUAAUAAAAUUUAAAAAUUUCACGUAACAUAAUCAUUAUAAGAGAUUAGUAAAAGCUCAAAUGAAACAAGAUACAUAUUUAAUCGCCUCCAACGCCUCCAAAUUUUCCACUGCAAUUACCUAAUCUAGUUUACUAAUCAAACUUCUUCCCAUUUUUUAACUUGUACUAUAAAAUGUUUGAAUUUGGUAUCAUAAAUUUAUUGUUAAUUUGAAAUUAUAUAAAUAGACAUUUGAAAGACUUUUAUAAAUAAAUAAAUAAAAAUAAGGCAUAUCACAAUAAAAUCAUGUUAUUCCAAUUAUUUAUCAUGUUGAAACCAAAGUCUAAUCAUGUUAGAAGACAUGUGAUUCCAUGUAAGCGCCAAAGUCAUGCAAAAUAAAUAUAAAAUGGUGUCAUCAUGACUUUAGAAUAGUACAAGUUAUUAUUAAAAAAUCUUUUUGAGAUAGUGAUGAUGUUAUUAUUAGAAAAUCUUUUUGGAAUGGUGUAAUGAUGAUUUUAAUUCCGCAUUUCAAUGAAAUUUUGUGACAAAGAAAGAAAGAAAUGAUAGUUUAUAAGCAAGUGUUGAUAAAAUGUUGGUAAUGCAUUCCCAUAUUUCUUCCCGACAUAGCCAAACAAUAGUAAUGUAUUUCUCAAGUUGCAUCCAAAUACUACUCAAACAGUAACAAUUUAUUUGCACGUAAUGUAUUAUGCAGUAAUAUAUUACACCAGUAAUAUAUUUCACAGACAAUAUAUUUCCAUGUUUCCAAACGGCCCUUUAGUUUCUUUUGUUUUUAGAUGGAAGACCUACUUGCAUCCAUCUUUUAAGAUGGAUGUUUUUAGUUUCUAUUGUUUUUAAGAUGGGACGCUUUACACUUUUUGAACCGCAUAUGUAGUCAUGCACUCCAGCCCGCAUAAAAUAAUUUUCCAAAAUAAAUAGUCUCAUUGUGCACUUUUUCUUAAAUAAUAUCAUUAUUGCGAGGAAUGAGAAAGAAAAAGAGGAGAUGGCAUGCACCCCAAAGCAAAAGAUAACUUUUUCAAACCUUGCAUUUGCUCAUUCCAAACUUUUUUUAGAAUGAGCAAAUGCUGGAUACGAGAGGUUUUGAGAAUGUAAAUUUCCAAUCUCCAAAAAUAUACCUUAGGGUGUCAAAACCUGCAUUUGCAAAAUAAGGAUCUGCAUCUCCUAGGUACAAAACGACCCAUUAGUUUCAUUUAUACUUGUUUAUGUCAUAUUGUUGCCUUUCGAGAAGUGAGUUCAUCAAUUUAUAGACAAGGAAAAGCUAGACACAUUGGACACCAUUGAAAGUUGGUAAAAAGAGAACCACUUAUUAGAAUCUUAGAUAACUUUGCCUAACUAGUGUUCAUGUAUAGGUUAAAAAACAUAGAGAAUCAACUUCUCGACACUUUUGGUU
rnacentral:lncRNA from 1 species